rnacentral:rRNA from 1 species
AUGGUGGCUGCGAGGCCAGACGGCGGGAGACGUAGCCGACGACAGCAAGCUCGACGGCGGCGGAGACGUCUUCUGUACUGCGAGCUCGACGACGGCGGUGGGGUCUUAUUGGCAGAUGCCAUGAUCGAUUUUUUCGUAAAGCUACUGGAGUUGCCAGCAAUGCAUGCAAAGCGGCAAGAGUUGGCUGCUCAGUUUUUCUUGUACUGCCAAGAUGGAAGAAAUUGGAGCUCGGGUUCUUCUUCUCACCGGCAGAAGCACAAGCAGGGGAGCUCCGGGUGGCAGCACGAGCAGGCCCGCCGGGGAAGAGCAGCAACUUGCAGCAGAAGAAGCUCGAGGUUGAGGAUGAGCUUGAGUUCCAGGCCCGCCUGGAGCUCCUGGUCCAGGCGCUCGAGACCCAGGCGCGCGCAGGUCCUGUGCGGCGCCGGCGCAGGCCCUGGGCGGCGCGAGGGAUAG